rnacentral:rRNA from 1 species
AACGAACGCUGGCGGCAUGCCUAACACAUGCAAGUCGAACGAGAGCUUCGGGUCUUGUGGCGCACGGGUGCGUAACGCGUGGGAAGCUGCACUUGGGGUCGGAAUAACUCCCCGAAAGGGGUGCUAAUACCGGAUAAUGUCUUCGGACCAAAGAUUUAUCGCGUUUGGUUGGGCCCGCGUUGGAUUAGCUAGUUGGUAGGGUAAAAGCCUACCAAGGCGACGAUCAAUAGCUGGUUUGAGAGGAUGGUCAGCGACACUGGGACUGAGACACGGCCCGGACUCCUACGGGAUGCGGCAGUGGGGAAUAUUGCACCGUCGGCGGAGUGCUGAUCCAGCAAUGCCGCGUGAGUGAUGAAGGCCUUAGGGUUGUAAAGCGCUUUUACCCGUGAUGAUAAUGACGGUACCGGGAGAAUAAGCCCCGGCUAACUCCGUG